rnacentral:rRNA from 1 species
AUUGAACGCUGGCGGCGUGCCUAACACAUGCAAGUCGAGCGGUAACAGGUGUAGCAAUACAUGCUGACGAGCGGCGAACGGGUGAGUAAUGCUUCGGAAUCUGCCCAUGUAGUGGGGAAUAACCAGCCGAAAGGUUGGCUAAUACCGCAUACGACCCUUGCCCACAAGGCAAAGGUGAAAGCAGGGGAUCGCAAGACCUUGCGCUAUUGGAUGAGCCGAAGUCGGAUUAGCUAGUUGGUAGGGUAACGGCCUACCAAGGCGACGAUCCGUAGCUGGUCUGAGAGGACGACCAGCCACACUGGGACUGAGACACGGCCCAGACUCCUACGGGAGGCAGCAGUGGGAAUAUUGGACAAUGGGGCAACCCUGAUCCAGCGACGCCGCGUGUGUGAAGAAGGCCUGCGGGUUGUAAAGCAC